rnacentral:rRNA from 1 species
GCUGUCGCUGACCGAAAAGUUGUGCACGCCGCAGUGUGUCCUCUCACAUAACAAUCCAUCUCACCCUUUGUGCACCACCGCGUGGGCACCCUCUGGGAUCGCACCGAUCUCAGAGGGGACUCUCGUUUUCACACAAAAACCCCCCUUUGAAAAAGUAUAGAAUGUCCUCGUUUAUGCAAUCAAUACAACUUUCAACAACGGAUCUCUUGGCUCUCGCAUCGAUGAAGAACGCAGCGAAAUGCGAUACGUAAUGUGAAUUGCAGAAUUCAGUGAAUCAUCGAAUCUUUGAACGCACCUUGCGCCCCUUGGUAUUCCGAGGGGCACACCCGUUUGAGUGUCGUGAAAAUCUCAACCUCCUUGGUUUCUUCUGGGGAUCAAAGGAGGCUUGGACUUUGGAGGCUUUUGCUGGCAUCUCUCUCCUUUGAAAGGUGGCCAGCUCCUCUUGAAUGAAUUAGCGGGGUCCUCUUUGCCGAUCCUUGACAUGUGAUAAGAUGUUUCCGUGUCUCGGUUUCUGGCUCUGUUGCUUUUGGGACCCGCUUCCAACCGUCUCAACAUCGAGACAAUGUUCGAGCCUGUUGCCCUUCUCGGGA